AUUGGUCCAGUCACACCCCACCACCCAUAUUAAUCAGGUCACACCUCACCAGCCAUAUUAAUCAGGUCACACCACACCACCCUUAUUGAUCAGGUCACACCUCACCACCCAUAUUGAUCAGGUCACACCUCACCACCCAUAUUAAUCAGGUCACACCACACCACCCAUAUUAAUCAGGUCACACCACACCACCCAUAUUGAUCAGGUCACACCUCACCACCCAUAUUGAUCAGGUAACACCUCACCACCCAUGUUAAUCAGGUCAUACCUCACCACCAAUAUUGGUCCGGUCACACCUCACGAUCCACAUUAAUCAGGUCACACCCCCGACCCAUAUUAAUCAGGUCAUACCUCACCACCCAUAUUGGUCUAGUCACAUCUCACCACCCAUAUUGAUCAGGUCACAUAUCACCACCCAUAUUGGUCCAGUCACACCUCCCCACCUAUAUUGAUGAGGAUACACCUCACCCCCCAUAUUGAUCAGGUCACAUUUCACCACCCAUAUUAAUCAGGUCACACCUCACCAACCUUAUUGAUCAGGUCACACCUCACCAACCUUAUUGAUCAGGUCACACCUCACCCCCCAUAUUGA
ensembl:lncRNA